rnacentral:rRNA from 1 species
UACGUAGGGGGGCUAGCGUUGUCCGGAAUCAUUGGGCGUAAAGCGCGUGUAGGCGGUCCGGUAAGUCCGCUGUGAAAGUCGGGGGGCUCAACCCUCGAAUGCCGGUGGAUACUGUCGGGCUAGAGUGCGGAAGAGGCGAGUGGAAUUCCUGGUGUAGCGGUGAAAUGCGCAGAUAUCAGGAGGAACACCAAUUGCGAAGGCAGCUCGCUGGGACGUAACUGACGCUGAGACGCGAAAGCGUGGGGGAGCAAACAGG